UACGAAGGGGGCUAGCGUUGCUCGGAAUCACUGGGCGUAAAGGGCGCGUAGGCGGCCGAUCAAGUCGGGGUGAAAUCCCAGGGCUCAACCCUGGAAUUGCCUUCGAUACUGUUUGGCUUGAGUCUGGUAGAGGUUGGUGGAACUGCGAGUGUAGAGGUGAAAUUCGUAGAUAUUCGCAAGAACACCGGUGGCGAAGGCGGCGGCCUGGUCCUUUUACUGACGCUGAGGCGCGAAAGCGUGGGGAGCAAACAGG
rnacentral:rRNA from 1 species